CCCGGCCGGCGACCGGCGCACGGGUGAGUAACACGUAUGCAACCUGGCCGCCACAGGGGGAUAACCCGCGGAAACGCGGCCUAAUACCCCGUGACGCCACCGGAGGGCAUCCUCCGGUGGCCAAAGGAGCGAUCCGGUGGCGGAUGGGCAUGCGGCGCAUUAGCUAGACGGCGGGGUGACGGCCCACCGUGGCGACGAUGCGUAGGGGUUCUGAGAGGAAGGCCCCCCACACUGGGACUGAGACACGGCCCAGACUCCUACGGAAGGCAGCAG
rnacentral:rRNA from 1 species